GCCGAACUUUCUAUCAGGAAGAACAACUCGCUGCUGCUGCUCAGACAUAAAUCCUUCAAAUACAAGCUCCACACUGUGCCAUAAAUCCUGCCAUUACAGUGAAGCCGCCGCUGUCGACCUCACAGUCGGCGAAGUGUGAGUACAAACGAGGCGUAAAGGUGACCCCCAAGACACCGAGAGCAAUGAAGGGGAGAGAUACAGUGCUCCUAAAGCCCAAUUUAUGGAUUUAUGGAUCUGCGUCGAGGUUUAUGCACCACGAAGUAAUUCACCAACCACAACGUGAGGAGGCGAGGAUUUAAACCCGGCAUUUGUGUGAAGUUUAACAUGAAUCAUCUCCAACACGACAGAAGCACAGAACAGACUCACCAUCAUCAUCGACAUCCUCUGUCACAGAAAAAACACUCAUAUUCAUCCGAGUUGUGUCCUUUAGUCUGACAGAAGCUGAACUGCGUCAACAGCACAAGGAGCGAGCUGUUUUUAUCAGGCUUAUAGUUUAUGCAAAUUAUCCAUGUGGUUUUAAGUUUUGUUUCUGUAAAAUGUAAAAAAAAAAA